CUAUCAUGCAAGUCGAGCGAAAUGGAUUAAGAGCUUGCUCUUAUGAAGUUAGCGGCGGACGGGUGAGUAACACGUGGGUAACCUGCCCAUAAGACUGGGAUAACUCCGGGAAACCGGGGCUAAUACCGGAUAAUAUUUUGAACUGCAUGGUUCGAAAUUGAAAGGCGGCUUCGGCUGUCACUUAUGGAUGGACCCGCGUCGCAUUAGCUAGUUGGUGAGGUAACGGCUCACCAAGGCAACGAUGCGUAGCCGACCUGAGAGGGUGAUCGGCCACACUGGGACUGAGACACGGCCCAGACUCCUACGGGAGGCAGCAGUAGGGAAUCUUCCGCAAUGGACGAAAGUCUGACGGAGCAACGCCGCGUGAGUGAUGAAGGCUUUCGGGUCGUAAAACUCUGUUGUUAGGGAAGAACAAGUGCUAGUUGAAUAAGCUGGCACCUUGACGGUACCUAACCAGAAAGCCACGGCUAACUACGUGCCAGCAGCCGCGGUAAUACGUAGGUGGCAAGCGUUAUCCGGAAUUAUUGGGCGUAAAGCGCGCGCAGGUGGUUUCUUAAGUCUGAUGUGAAAGCCCACGGCUCAACCGUGGAGGGUCAUUGGAAACUGGGAGACUUGAGUGCAGAAGAGGAAAGUGGAAUUCCAUGUGUAGCGGUGAAAUGCGUAGAGAUAUGGAGGAACACCAGUGGCGAAGGCGACUUUCUGGUCUGUAACUGACACUGAGGCGCGAAAGCGUGGGGAGCAAACAGGAUUAGAUA
rnacentral:rRNA from 1 species